GUGUUUGCAUCCACAGCACACACGCUAGAAGUGCAGUGAUACAGAGAUUAGCAUGGCCCUUGUGCAAGGAUGUAACGCAAAUUCGUGAAGCGUCCCAUAAUUUU